UACGUAGGGGGCUAGCGUUGUCCGGAAUCAUUGGGCGUAAAGCGCGUGUAGGCGGCCCGGUAAGUCCGCUGUGAAAGUCCAGGGCUCAACCCUGGGAUGCCGGUGGAUACUGUCGGGCUCGAGUCCGGAAGAGGCGAGUGGAAUUCCUGGUGUAGCGGUGAAAUGCGUAGAUAUCGGGAGGAACACCAGUGGCGAAGGCGGCUAGCUGGGCCAGUUCUGACGCUGAGGCGCGAAAGCGUGGGGAGCAAACAGG
rnacentral:rRNA from 1 species